AGUUUUGGUGCUGGGCGGGAAGAAGCAGGGGCGCGAGGCGAAGGCGGGAAGGCGCUGUCCGGUCGCUGAGGUGAUAAUGGUGGCUCGUUUGAGAAGCACUCCUAGAAGAACAAGAUAAUUGAAAGGUCUUCAUGCUUCUAUGGGAAGCCAGAUGCAAAACCUUCUCCAGCUGAGGAGAGUUUAACUGAGGAUCAUCCUUCUGAACUUUCCAUAGAGAUUCUGAAAUGGUGCACUGCCAUACAUGUGGAAUAAGAGGUAUUGCCUUUUCUGAGGCUAGAACCAAAAGAGCUACUGGUACCUGGACUCAGUGUUACAAGACAGACAUGAAGCUCUAACCCGCUGACGCACUGGAAAGUUCUGCAGGCAACAGAGCAAUAAAAGCUGCCACUGUGGGUGAAGAGCCCUCGGCAAGCAGUAGUCAGCACUCUCAGAAGCACUGAAAAUGCCCAAUCUAAGUGUAUGUAUGGAGUUUGUUAAAUAUUUAUCCAGAUUUAGAUGAGAAUAAUAAAAACCACAUGCUAACAGUA